rnacentral:rRNA from 1 species
GCUUUUCUUGCUACCCGGGAAGAAGCCCAAUCUCAUCUGAUCUCAGAAGCUAAGCAGAGCGGCACCUGGUUAGUACUUGGAUGGGAGACAUCUAGGAAGACCAGGUGCUGUAGGCG